rnacentral:rRNA from 1 species
UACGGGGGGUGCGAGCGUUGUCCGGAAUCACUGGGCGUAAAGGGCGCGUAGGUGGCUUGGCAAGCGCGUGGUGAAAGCCCGGGGCUCAACCCCGGGUCUGCCGUGCGAACUGCUAUGGCUUGAGCACUGUAGAGGCAGGUAGAAUUCCGGGUGUAGCGGUGGAAUGCGUAGAGAUCCGGAAGAAUACCGGUGGCGAAGGCGGCCUGCUGGGCAGUGGCUGACACUGAGGCGCGAAAGCGUGGGGAGCGAACAGG